rnacentral:rRNA from 1 species
GACGAACCGUGCGAACGUUGUUCGGAAUCACUGGGCUUAAAGGGCGCGUAGGCGGGCAGGCAAGUCUGGGGUGAAAUCUUUCGGUUUAACCGGAAAAGUGCCUUGGAUACUGCUUGUCUCGAGGGAGGUAGGGGCAGAUGGAACUUCCGGUGGAGCGGUGAAAUGCGUUGAUAUCGGAAGGAACGCCGGUGGCGAAAGCGAUCUGCUGGAUCUCUUCUGACGCUGAUGCGCGAAAGCUAGGGGAGCAAACGGG